ensembl:lncRNA
UGAGGAAAGGAAGGGAUGAAACAGAGGAGAAGGGGAGAGAGCAGCAGAUCGCGUAGAGAGUUAGUGACACACUGGGACAGAGAUGGAUCCAGUGUGAGACGCGAGCGCUCAGUUCCCCGCUGGACAAGAGUCACUGAGUCAUUAGCAUUGCAGAUGUUGGCGAUAGGAAGUGUGAAUGGGCUUCAUGCAUCGGUUCGGCUGAAUCCCAGCAUUGUCUACGGGCCCAGCACUAGCCUUACUGUACGUUGUGAGGGAGCUGAUGGACCAAUGGACACGCGAACAGACAGACGGACGGACGGUCGGACGGACGGACGGAUGGACGGACAGCCCUCCGGCCCAGUUGCCCAACAUUUUUCCUGAGUCACGACGGCAGCGGACACACCCCUUCCCCUUCACGGCCGCGUCUCGCUCUGCGGGGGGACGGUGGCCGGGGGGACGGGGGACGGGGUUUGGGGGCACAGAGAGAGUCGCACACCCUCGGCGAUGGAGGGCCUAGCUAUGCAAACAGUGCGGCGGGGAGGGGAGGAAAUUGAAUUUCCCCCGCUUUAAAGAAAGGCCUCCCCACCCCAUCAACAGCAGCUUAGAGAGCCUGAAGUCCAGCAGGAUUCAUCUGCCACGGAGGUCUGGCCAAUCAGGUUACCUAUUUUUUUACACACACACACACACACACACACACCCACACACACAAACACACACACACGAACACGCACACUUAAACCACUUAGUAUAAAAGGGCACACACUAGACUUGCACGCACUAACCUAAACUUUGCACGCACACACACUCACACACCCAACCCCCUUCCUCUCAACACCCGCCUUAGCAUCAACAAUCAACAAUCUAUGGCAUUGUGGAGCCUGUGAUCCAGUGACCUCUGACCCCUGGGGUUAACCUCGGAGCGGCCAGUGUUGAGAGGUGACCCAGGCGGCUCAUUGCUCGGCAGCAGAGCCCCCAUGAGAACCCGAGGGAAGCCGCCCAGCCUGCCCUGCUGCCGAGGAUGAGGCCAGGAUGAAGGCUUAAAGUGGGUCCUGAUGUCCGGACACGCCACUUCUAGCUUUGCUGCUACCCCCCCC